rnacentral:lncRNA from 1 species
CACAGAGGGGUGGUCCAGGCUGGACAGCUCAAGGUGGCAGAGGGCACUGGGAGGUCAGGAGAAGGUCCUCAGGACCCACCAAAGGGUCUUUGGCCCCCGCCUUCUGUGUGUGCUUGGAGAAGGGACUUCACUGGCCCCAGAGACAGCUGAUCAGUCCAUCCAGCCUGGCCUGGGGUCCUGGUCCACACAGGGCACAGACCUCCAGGGCUGCCGGGGGCAGGUGUAUGGCUCUGUGUUCCCGUGUCCCAAAGCCACAUUCAUAAAUGUCACAUCUCACAUUCAGCCAUGUCUGAGGGUCCUUGCUGGGCCUCAGCACUGGCUCCCAACCCAGCAGUAGACGGAUGAGUUAUUGCCUGGGGGAUCAGGUGUUGGAGGGAGACAGACAACAGCUAAUGGUGGGUAACUCUGCAGCACGCAGGGGCGAAGCGUGGCAUGGAGAGGCGGGCACGAAAAGGAGUGGGAUCAGGGCCACUGCUUGGACAGAACACCCAAGGCCAGGGUCCACCCUGGAGGUGUCAGGGAAGAGUGUGCAGGAAGGGGACAGCGGCUGCGGAGGUGAAGAGCCCCCUCGACCUCUGGACGCUGGUGGAGCAUGGGCGGGGCAGGGCCCAGUUCGGGGCGGCCCUCGUAGCUGAAAUCGGGCAGACCCUGCCGGGGUGCAGCCCGAUGGAUUCGCUGAUGGAUUGGACAUGGGUGUGGAACAGAGAUAAGCCGAAGGCUGUGAGGUCAGCGUGGUUUUGGGGGCUGGGGGAAGUCGGAAGUAAGGUUUUGGGGUGCAAGUUCAGCGAUGGAGGAACGGCUGGGCAAAGGCAUGGACACAGGCGUGUGGAGCAGGGGCCUGGGCUGGAGGUGGGCAUUGGGGUGUGUCCGGACCGACCCCGGGGCUCCAAAGGCCGGGGCUGUGGGUGGGGGCACAGUGGAGGCUGGGUGUGCGUCGAUGAAGGCGCCAUUCUCAUCUCCUUCAGUUUUGUGCCUGGGGCAGCCCGGGAGCUUUUCUGGGCCUGUGUCGGUGGCCGCAGCCCAGCUCCGCCCUGCGGUGCCCACCAGGAGGCUUUGCCGGGGCGGCCAGGACCCCCGAGGGCACGAACACGGCGGACUCGCGGCUCUGCCCUGCCCAGUCCGGGCCAGCCCUGCCCUGGCGCAGCCCCCUCUCCCGGGGCAGCUUCCGGCG